rnacentral:rRNA from 1 species
GACGAACGCUGGCGGCGUGCUUAACACAUGCAAGUCGAGCGAGGUCCAUCCGGUGGCAACACCGGGAGACCGAGCGGCGAACGGGUGAGUAACACGUGAGCAACCUGCCCGAACGAUGGAGUAACACCGGGAAACCCGGGUAGCUAAAACCGGAACGUGCCCUCCCUCUGGUUCGGCAUGGCCGGAAGGAGGAAAGAAUUCUGCUUCGGGUAGGGGCGUCGCGGCGUAUCAGCUUGUUGGUGGGGUAACGGCGUCACCAAGGCGACGACGGCUAGCUGGUCUGAGAGGACGACCAGCCACACUGGGACU